GAUGAAGAACGUAGCGAAAUGCGAUAAGUAAUGUGAAUUGCAGAAUUCAGUGAAUCAUCGAAUCUUUGAACGCACAUUGCGCCCGUCAGUAUUCUGGCGGGCAUGCCUGUUCGAGCGUCAUUACGCCCCUCAAGUCCCCUGUGGACUUGGUGUUGGGGAUCGGCGAGGCUGGUUUUCCAGCACAGCCGUCCCUUAAAUUAAUUGGCGGUCUCGCCGUGGCCCUCCUCUGCGCAGUAGUAAAACACUCGCAACAGGAGCCCGGCGCGGUCCACUGCCGUAAGACCCCCCAACUUUUUAUAGUUGACCUCGAAUCAGGUAGGACUACCCGCUGAACUUAAGCAUAUCAAUAAGCGGAGGA
rnacentral:misc_RNA from 1 species